rnacentral:rRNA from 1 species
AAAGCCUGAUCCAGCCAUGCCGCGUGAGUGAAGAAGGCCUUCGGGUUGUAAAGCUCUUUUAGUCGGAAAGAAAGAGUUGCAAUGAAUAAUUGUGAUUUAUGACGGUACCGACAGAAAAAGCACCGGCUAACUACGUGCCAGCAGCCGCGGUAAUACGUAGGGUGCGAGCGUUAAUCGGAAUUACUGGGCGUAAAGGGUGCGCAGGCGGUCUUGCAAGUCAGAUGUGAAAGCCCCGGGCUUAACCUGGGAAUUGCGUUUGAAACUACAAGGCUAGAGUGCAGCAGAGGGGAGUGGAAUUCCAUGUGUAGCAGUGAAAUGCGUAGAGAUGUGGAAGAACACCGAUGGCGAAGGCAGCUCCCUGGGUUGACACUGACGCUCAUGCACGAAAGCGCGGGGAGCAAACAGGAUUAGAUACCCUGGUAGUCCACGCCCUAAACGAUGUCAACUAGUUGUCGGAUCUAAUUAAGGAUUUGGUAACGUAGCUAACGCGUGAAGUUGACCGCCUGGGGAGUACGGUCGCAAGAUUAAAACUCAAAGGAAUUGACGG